CAAGGAUAAUACUGAUAUGGUCUGAUGGCAGUUAGUUUAGCUGUAAUCAGCAAAAGGGAAUCCGGUGAAAUUCCGGAACAGUCACCACUACUGUAAUGCGGACAAGAGGGCCAAUACCACUGGAAGAAUUCCGGGAAGGGGUCUUUGAGGAGGAAGCGGAGUCAGGAUACCUGCCAUAUUCAGGAAGAGAGC
rnacentral:ncRNA from 2 species